UACUCGAGUGGCGAACGGGUGAGUAACACGUGGGUGAUCUGCCCUGCACUUUGGGAUAAGCCUGGGAAACUGGGUCUAAUACCGAAUACACCCUUCUGGCUGCAUGGUCUGGUUGGGGAAAGCUUUUGCGGUGUGGGAUGGGCCCGCGGCCUAUCAGCUUGUUGGUGAGGUUACGGCUCACCAAGGCGACGACGGGUAGCCGGCCUGAGAGGGUGACCGGCCACACUGGGACUGAGAUACGGCCCAGACUCCUACGGGAGGCAGCAGUGGGGAAUAUUGCACAAUGGGCGCAAGCCUGAUGCAGCGACGCCGCGUGAGGGAUGACGGCCUUCGGGUUGUAAACCUCUUUCGCCAGGGACGAAGCGCAAGUGACGGUACCUGGAGAAGAAGGACCGGCCAACUACGUGCCAGCAGCCGCGGUAAUACGUAGGGUCCGAGCGUUGUCCGGAAUUACUGGGCGUAAAGAGCUCGUAGGUGGUUUGUCGCGUUGUUCGUGAAAACUCACAGCUCAACUGUGGGCGUGCGGGCGAUACGGGCAGACUGGAGUACUGCAGGGGAGACUGGAAUUCCUGGUGUAGCGGUGGAAUGCGCAGAUAUCAGGAGGAACACCGGUGGCGAAGGCGGGUCUCUGGGCAGUAACUGACGCUGAGGAGCGAAAGCGUGGGGAGCGAACAGGAUUAGAUACCCUGGUAGUCCACGCCGUAAACGGUGGGUACUAGGUGUGGGUUUCCUUCCUUGGGAUCCGUGCCGUAGCUAACGCAUUAAGUACCCCGCCUGGGGAGUACGGCCGCAAGGCUAAAACUCAAAGAAAUUGACGGGGGCCCGCACAAGCGGCGGAGCAUGUGGAUUAAUUCGAUGCAACGCGAAGAACCUUACCUGGGUUUGACAUGCACAGGACGUGCCUAGAGAUAGGUAUUCCCUUGUGGCCUGUGUGCAGGUGGUGCAUGGCUGUCGUCAGCUCGUGUCGUGAGAUGUUGGGUUAAGUCCCGCAACGAGCGCAACCCUUAUCUUAUGUUGCCAGCGCGUAAUGGCGGGGACUCGUGAGAGACUGCCGGGGUCAACUCGGAGGAAGGUGGGGAUGACGUCAAGUCAUCAUGCCCCUUAUGUCCAGGGCUUCACACAUGCUACAAUGGCCGGUACAAAGGGCUGCGAUGCCGUGAGGUGGAGCGAAUCCUUUCAAAGCCGGUCUCAGUUCGGAUCGGGGUCUGCAACUCGACCCCGUGAAGUCGGAGUCGCUAGUAAUCGCAGAUCAGCAACGCUGCGGUGAAUACGUUCCCGGGCCUUGUACACACCGCCCGUCACGUCAUGAAAGUCGGUAACACCCGAAGCC
rnacentral:rRNA from 1 species